rfam:Streptomyces sp. WAC00263 NODE_500_length_15206_cov_126.247665, whole genome shotgun sequence.
AAAUAUUACAAAGCGCCUGUGCAAGUUGUUGUUAUAAUGCAAUAAUUAAGGAUUUAAUUUGAAUGUUGAAAUUCUUAUAGCUUAUAUACACAUCUUGUAGACGAGGAGGAUAGUGAUCGAAAAGAUCGGCGGAUGCUAUCCCGGAUGUGGCUCAUUCGUUAGCUUAUUAAGUAAAACAGUAGGGCAACCUAUUGGACAAAGUUAAUAAGAUCGCCAAUA